UUUUAUUUUAUUUUAUUUUAUGAUUUUCAGUGCAGUUCACUGCAUUUCAUUUUCUAGGCAUCCUGCAGAGCUGAUAUCAUAAGACUUGAACGACGUAACAAAUAAUAUCCCACCAUCUGAAAAUACUCAUGUAUCUGACCAAUUAAAGAAGAGGAACAAAUAACGAAAUGGAAAAUUACAAAUGUUGAUAUCCGAUGGUUACAGUGAGGAGAAUAAGGAAGCUUCUGUUUUGUGUUGUUUUGGGUUUUUUUUCUAUAGUGUAACAAAAGAGUUCUUAACUAGGUAAAUCAUUACCCAUUGUAAACCAUCAGUUUAUUUUUGCUAAAAUGGUUAGAUGUAUGUAUGCUGUUUUCAGAACUCCAGCUGGCAGGAUGCCCACACUUCAGCAUGUGAUUGACCAAGGGUGUUUUACUUUAUGCAAGAAUAAAUGCACUUGAUAAUUAUCAUUUGAUUGAAGAGCAGCCAUGUAGCAGUUCUGCAGAAAAGAAUUGAAAGAUACCAGUAUCCAUUCUAGAUGGCUUCCUUGGCUGACAGGUCUGAAGAAUCAAAUGUUCAAAAUAAAGGCUGGCUUAUUUAAACUCCUCCCCAGGGAGCAGUUCCAUAGUGUUAUCCAGCUUGCAGUUCCUAGAGCAUAAAUUAAUUCAAGCUGCAUUCACUGCUCAUUUUCUUGAGCUGUAUUAACGUGGAUAGUGAGCAAUUGUGGGUUAUGUGGCAGCAUUUUAACAGAUAUACAGAAACACUGGCCAUUUACUCCAUUAUAGGACAUAACUAACCUGUGUGUAGCAAAAAUGAUGCUUGUCCUGGAAAAGGAUGACCAGAGACCCUAACACAGUCUGUAGUUUUACACUGAAAUGUGAGAAUGUGAGUAUUAACUGGUAACACCUUAAAAUCAUGAGAUCCAUAAAACAGUAUAGACAACCAGUGCCUAUGGGAAAGUAGAGGAAGGUCUGCAUUUAGUAACAUGUUAGGACUUCUCAGGGGAAGAAGCUGUUUAGUAGUGGUUCAUCAUUCCAGCAGCAGAUCUAAGCUUCUGCUGCUGCUUCAAGUACUUCAAAGGUGAAUUUGAAAACUGCUGAGUAGUUUAAAGAGACUGACAUAAUGAAGAUUAUUUAGACCACCACAUGGCUGCUAUCAUCUGGGUUCACUUCUCUGUGCAGCUACGGGUGAGACAAGGUAAGAAUCAGAUUUAAUUCAUUCUUCCUCUGUCCCUUUCUAGCCAGCAAGGCAGCUGCCUAAGUGUUUCUGCCAUGCAUGUAGUUUGGUAUUUAUGGCUUUUUAUGUGUUAAGUUGGGAUGAUUGAGAGGGAAUCUAACAUCAGAACUUUCAUUCAGUUCCUCCUAAAGAGAAAACUCUCUUCCAUCCAAACAAUUUCAUAGUUCAUCAGUUGGCUUUGCCAUUAUUCAUUGAACAAACCAUUUCCCCUUUUUCAGGAUCUAUGAAUAUUUGCUCCAAAAUCCAUCCAUUCCCAGAAAUCCUUUAAAUCUUUUCUAACAUUAUCCUUAGAGGUAGCUGGAACUUCAGUCCCUUCAGGCAACUCUUCCUGCCCUCUGAGGGGCGUUUCUUUUUGUUGCUGUGAUGUGAAGAUUUUUCUUGUGAUUAAGUGGGGUUGUUAUGUCCACCAAAGCUGAGUCCUCAGCUUUGAGAUCUACAAACACAUACAUAUCUACACCUAUGUAUUCACGAUCAAGCUGUUGUCCUAAGAAAACAAAAGAGCUGGACUGGAAUGGCCAAUUGGAAACCUGCUGUAUUAACUGAAAGACAAUGGAGAGUAGAGAUAUGAUAUAUCUUUGAUAUGAUCAAAUAGAAUCAAAUAUUAAAACUAAAGCAAGCAAAGGCCCAAUCUCAGAAAAGACUUUGUCAGCUGUUUAGCUGUAAUUUCUCUGUUUAUUACUUGUAGCCUUAUUCAAAGCCGGGCAUUCUCUGACCUUGUGCCUGUAAUAACAGCCAUGUGUGAUGGACUUCAGAAGUAACUUAUGUAAUUUCUCUUGGGCUGUAUAGUAAAAUAGCAUAUACUUGGAAAUAUUACAGUCAUAUCAUACUAAAAAUAAAUCUGUGAAUCAUUAUCACUCAAAAUGACCAAGUGAUUUUCUCAUUGUAUUGAUGUUCUCAUUAUAAAUAUGUUUUAAAAUAAAAGACCUUCACCUUGUUUUCAACUUCUUAUUUAUAUCUAUUUUGAAUUCCAUUAUAUUAUGAAAUAACAAUGUUCUUAAAUGGGGAGAGGAGAAAAAAAAAGACAAAGCCCAAAAUCCUAGGAGGAAGAAAAAUGUUAACUAUUUCUGCUGGCAUGGCACUGGCAAAUACAGAUAUCUUACAAUCAUAAUGGAGAUUAGUAGAGCUGGGUGUGCAUAUUUGUUAUGGAUCAAAGAUAGGAUAUAGUGAUUAGAAGAAUGACAAUGCUUUCAACACUCACAAAGGGAUUGAAUGUGUGAUUUAUAAUACUAAUUCCACAAAACCUUUCCAUGGCUGCUUACUGCACAAGGGAUUCAAUAUAGAUUGAUCACUGGGAAAAAAAAUGUAUUUCCUUCAGCUCAGUUGGAUGCAACUAACAAAAAGUCUUUUCAGUAUUGACACUGUCUGAUUUAAGAGAUAACCCCUCUGCCGUUUACUCUACUCUUCUGCUACAGAUUACUGUCCCCACACUGUAACCAUCAGAGAACUUUUUGUGUUACUUUCCCAGUGCCCAUAAUUCACAGCUCAGUAUUUUAGCUUAUAAUUAAUCUAUUUACUCUGAUUAAAAUGACAAUUUUAUAUAUAUAUAUACACCUGGCAGAAAUGUUAAAGAUGUUGAUGCCCUGGAAAAGCAAACAGUAGCCUCUACCCUGAGGAUACAUACCUCUGAUUUUCUAUUUACUAUCCAUCAAAAGCACAGAUUCAGUUAUGAAUUUACCACUGGUUCUACUAGGGGACUUUUGGCAGACAUUCAGUCUCUCUUUGUUCUGGUUUCUAAAAUGGAAUAAUGUUACAUAGAUGUCAUGGUAAAAAUGUAUUUGUAAGUAUGCUCUUACCCUUUCUAGAGCUAUUGCACUGGGGAAUAGUUUUGGGCACGUGUACUGCUGAGGCAGACAUGAUCAGUGUUUUGGCUGUAGCAGAGCAGAAGAGGGAAUGCAGCACUCCCCAGCAGGGCUGGGGAACUUCUGGACUAUGACAUGUGCAAAGAUUUUCACAGCCAGCUGGAAAAGGACACCAAGGUGAGGCUUAACAUUUAGUGUCAAACUAGGUGUGAGCCACAGAACUAGCAAAGUAGUUAUGCUCUUACUUUCCUUUUUCCUUUAAACAACAGCUACUCAUCUUUGCAAGGACUCUCUGUGGUAUUUUCUCGAGAGUCUGUAGCAGUCUGUAGGUAUUUCAUAUGCACCAUGAAGUCCUGAUUUCUGGUUGCCUAGAUGAAGGUGGCUAUUGGAAGCACAGUUAACUCCAGUUGCCCCCCAGGGUCUGUGGGGCACUAUGUACAUUUCACUCCAUCAUGUGCUUGGAUCAUGGAAGCACUGGGAGUGGGACUUCCUACAUGACAUGGAAUCAGACAAUUUCAGAGAUGAGGAAUUGCAUUUUUUAAUUUCUCCAACCAACUGAACAAUUUUUUAAUGAUUGCUUUUCUUCCUAAGAAGAGAAAGCCCUUCCUUAUAACAUUAAUAGACUAAUAACUUGGAUAACACAAUUUAUGUGACAUUAGAAAGCUUAGUGAUCUGGUGAGGUCUAAUUAUGAAAAAUAAUAAUGUGUACCCAGGGACUGAACUUGCAGAAGGUUUUCCAAAUCUAGGUCCAUUUGCUAACUAUAAAGAUUCAUCUACUGAUUAAAUUUUGGACUUUGCAAUCUUCAGAGAUAGGACUUAACUUGUUUAACUAAAUACUUUAUAAAAACCUCCACCCUAAGGCUUCAGGCAUCACUGUGAUCAUUAAGGGAUGAUAAUAAUAAUACCUGGCGAAAGGGGGGAAAAAGCUUUCCCUGUUUUCCUGUGUAUCAGAGAUGAGAAUCUCUGCACCUAUCAUCUCUGGAGCUCAAGCUAAAGGAUCUAGGGGAUAUAUUUGCAACAGUUUCUCCAGGAAUGGCUGCUAAGCAUCAUGUGUGGCUUAGUAGGGGAAAAAAUACAGCAUUUGGGACUUAACUUGACAUCAGAUCCCCUUGACUGUUUACUUGCUUUGCUUACAAGACCGAGAGACACAGGACAUGUUUAUGAGCUAAGGCUUGAACCUUUCUCACAAGCUACCUGCAUUCCCCAGGAACCAGCCCCUGCUCUUCUACAAGCAGAACUGACAACCAACAGAUGCAGUAAGAUAACAGAGCAUACUCAUUUGCCAUUUUAUCACCACUAUUAACCUCAAGAGGAAAUUUGUGUCUAAGGUUUUUUUCUUCCUCCUAAGACUAUUUUUUAAAAUGCAAAUCCUUCUUGUCAUUCAGCAGGUUCUUACUGGAACUUCCUGAUGCAAAUACCUCUUCACAUGCAGGGCUUUUUCUUCCACAUCCCACUGUGACUCCUGCAGAGAGGAACUGUUCUAGUGUACUUCUCCAUCUCCCUCAGACCAGAUGAUCAAAGAACUCCUGGAGAGUGUUCUUGGCCAGAAAUACAACAUAAAAAUGGAACUAGAUGAACCAGAACAAGAGCAAUAUUUUUCUCUUGGGUAAAUAUUACUUUUGUAAGAGUUGUAUAUUUUUUUUCCAGCUCCUACAAUGUGUUACAACACAGAAGCCAGACAAAACAAAUGGAUAAAGACGUUAAUGUAUCACAGAAUAUUCUUCAUUCUUUCUUCUUCUAGUUUUUUUAUGUCUCUUAAAAAUGAAAAUGAGCCAAUAUCAAAACACAAACAUUACCUCUUUUGGGAUGUUAUUUUUAUUAUACUGCUUAUAAUUUAAAACAUUUUAAAAAAAAAUCUCUUUCUCUUUUUAAGCUGACCUAUUCCAGUAUGACAUAAAAAAGUGCAUUAUAUGCAUUUGAAAUAUCAUUGGAAGUAUUGCUUCUUUUAGUUAUUGUUUAGCUUGCGAAGUCUUCAUAAGACCAUUUUUUUAUUGUCAUAGUUGUGUAAAUCAUGUAAGCUUCUGUAAGAAACUGUAAGUUUCAUGUAAGCUCUCUGCAAGAGAAUUCCUUCAAUUAAUUACAGCAAAUGAUAUCAGUAAUACUGAGCAUCAGGUAGAUGCUAGAGAAAACUUUCCUAGAUUUUCACCAGAAGUUUGCCAAUUUAUUUGUUAACUAAACGGUUGACUUAGUAUCAGAUGGCUUUUUGUCCUCUGUAGGCAAGGCUGAUAGUUUUGUUUCAGUUCCAAGACAGCUAAUAUGUAUAGUACCUUACAUUCCCUAAAUGUGAGAUUCAGUCCUUUUGACUGAAUA